rnacentral:ncRNA from 1 species
GAAUUCAGUGGAGAUGGCAUUCCUCCCGAACCGCCGGUCAAGUCCGGCUGAUGAUGCCUACGAGUUC